AACGAACGCUGGCGGCGUGCCUAACACAUGCAAGUCGAACGAGAAAGUAGCAAUACGAGUACAGUGGCGGACGGGUGAGUAAUACGUAGGUAAUCUACCUUACUGUGUGGAAUAACUAAGGGAAACUUUAGCUAAUACCGCAUACGGUUUCAGAUCUCAUGAUUUGAAAAGAAAGGGGGGUCGCAAGAUCUCUCGCAGUUUGAUGAGCCUGCGUCCGAUUAGCUAGUUGGUAAGGUAAUGGGACUUACCAAGGCGACGAUCGGUAGCUGAUUUGAGAGAAUGAUCAGCCACACUGGAACUGACACACGGUCCAGACUCCUACGGGAGGCAGCAGUGGGGGAAUAUUGCGCAAUGGGGGAAACCCUGACGCAGCGACGCCGCGUGGGUGAUGAAGGCCUUC
rnacentral:rRNA from 1 species